CGACGACCUCAGAGCAGGGGAGACUACCCCCUAAAUUUAAGCAUUAAA
rnacentral:rRNA from 1 species